rnacentral:rRNA from 1 species
UCGAACGAAUCCCACCUGGGUAACUGGGUGGGGGAAGUGGCGAAAGGGGCAGUAAGGCAUGGCUAACCUACCCCGGGGACGGGGAUAGCCUUCCUAACGGAAGGGUAAUACCCGGCGAUGUGGCGAGGGGGCAUCUUCUUGCCAUGAAAUGAGUUUCGCCUCGGGAGGGGGUCAUGUGCUAUUAGCUUGUUGGCGGGGUAACGGCCCACCAAGGCUGAGAUGGCUAGCGGGUGUGAGAGCACGACCCGCGCCACUGGCACUGAGACACUGGCCAGACUCCUACGGGAGGCUGCAGUCGAGGAUCUUCGGCAAUGGGCGCAAGCCUGACCGAGCGACGCCGCGUGUGCGAUGAAGGCCUUCGGGUUGUAAAGCACUGUCGAGGGGGAGGAAAGCCCGCAAGGGUCUGACCUAUCCCUGGAGGAAGCACGGGCUAAGUUCGUGCCAGCAGCCGCGGUAAGACGAACCGUGCAAACGUUGUUCGGAUUCACUGGGCUUAAAGGGCGCGUAGGCGGCUUGUCAAGUCAGGGGUGAAAUCUUUCGGCUCAACCGGAAAACAGCUUCUGAUACUGGCAAGCUUGAGGGAGGUAGGGGCAGAUGGAACUUCCGGUGGAGCGGUGAAAUGCGUAGAUAUCGGAAGGAACGCCGGUGGCGAAAGCGAUCUGCUGGAUCUCUUCUGACGCUGAGGCGCGAAAGCCAGGGGAGCAACGGGAUUAGAUACCCCGGUAGUCCUGGCCCUAAACGAUGGGUACUAGGUAGUGGACUUGACAUG